CAGCAGCCACGGUAAUACAGAGGGUGCGAGCGUUAAUCGGAUUUACUGGGCGUAAAGCGUGCGUAGGCGGCUUCUUAAGUUGGAUGUGAAAUCCCUGAGCUUAACUUAGGAAUUGCAUUCGAUACUGGGAAGCUAGAGUAUGGGAGAGGAUGGUAGAAUUCCAGGUGUAGCGGUGAAAUGCGUAGAGAUCUGGAGGAAUACCGAUGGCGAAGGCAGCCAUCUGGCCUAAUACUGACGCUGAGGUACGAAAGCAUGGGGAGCAAACAGGAUUAGAGACCCGAGUAGUCCCUGUCUCUUAUAC
rnacentral:rRNA from 1 species